rnacentral:rRNA from 1 species
GAUCUCUUGGUUCUCGCAUCNAUGAAGAACGCAGCGAAAUGCGAUACGUAAUAUGAAUUGCAGAUAUUCGUGAAUCAUCGAAUCUUUGAACGCACAUUGCGCCCUUUGGUAUUCCAAAGGGCAUGCCUGUUUGAGCGUCNUU